CAUUUUAUUGAUAAUAUUAAAGAUUCAAUAUUUAUUUACGACAAAACAGAUGAAAAUUACAAAGAUGUACAUUAAAAAACCGAAUAUUUAGAAAAAUUUAGGAUUGCAAUUUGGUCAAUCAGGUGACGAUUUAAAAGCUAAAUGGAAUAAUUUAAAAGACUAUCAGAAUAAAGAAUACGAAAAAACAGUAAAUAGUCCAAGUGGUUCAGCUGGGCCACCAUAUAAAUCAACGUGGCCUUAUUAUGAAACAUUAUCAUUUUUAAAUAAAACUUUAACACCUCGGAUACAACAAUCAAAUGAAAAUAUAACAACAUUGAAUAAAAGAAGAAGAAAAAUAUUUGAAAAAAUACUAUUGAGAAGGAUAAAAAGGAG